rnacentral:rRNA from 1 species
AUUGAACGCUGGCGGCAGGCCUAACACAUGCAAGUCGAGCGGAGCGGCGGACGGGCGGGUAAUGCCUAGGUAUCUGCCUGGUAGUGGGGGGUAACGUCCGGCAACGGGCGGUAAUACCGCAUACUAUCAGAUUAGCCUAGGUCGGUUGAGCUAGUUGGUGGGGUAAAGGCCUACCAAGGCGACGAUCCGUACCUGGACUGAGAGGAUGAUCAGUCACACUGGAACUGAGACACGGUCCAGACUCCUACGGGAGGCAGCAGUGGGGAAUAUUGGACAAUGGGCGAAAGCCUGAUCAAGCCAUGCCGCGUGUGUGAAGAAGGUCUUCGGAUUGUAAAGCACUUUAAGUUGGGAGGCGUUACCAACAGAAUAAGCACCGGCUAACUUCGUGCCAGCAGCCGCGGUAAUUC